UACGUAGGGGGCAAGCGUUGUCCGGAUUCAUUGGGCGUAAAGAGCGUGUAGGCGGCCAGGUAGGUCGGUUGUGAAAACUGGAGGCUCAACCUCGAGAUGUCGCCGGAAACCAGUCGGCUAGAGUCCGGAAGAGGAGAGUGGAAUUCCUGGUGUAGCGGUGAAAUGCGCAGAUAUCAGGAAGAACACCUAUGGCGAAAGCAGCUCUCUGGGACGGUACUGACGCUGAGACGCGAAAGCGUGGGGAGCGAACAGG
rnacentral:rRNA from 1 species